AAUGAGUUAGUAGCUCGCUGAAUCAACUGGAGGGGAUAGCUCAAUGCUUUCCCAACAAGCUUGACUUGUGGAAUCCUGUAGUCAGGGGAAAGCUCAUUUUUUG
rnacentral:ncRNA from 12 species